UACGUAGGGUGCAAGCGUUAAUCGGAAUUACUGGGCGUAAAGCGUGCGCAGGCGGUUCGCUAAGACAGAUGUGAAAUCCCCGGGCUUAACCUGAGAACUGCAUUUGUGACUGGCGGGCUAGAGUAUGGCAGAGGGGGGGUAGAAUUCCACGUGUAGCAGUGAAAUGCGUAGAGAUGUGGAGGAAUACCGAUGGCCGAAGGCAGCCCCCUGGGCCCAAU
rnacentral:rRNA from 1 species